rnacentral:rRNA from 1 species
UACGUAGGGGGCAAGCGUUGUCCGGAAUCAUUGGGCGUAAAGCGCGUGUAGGCGGUUCGGUAAGUCUGCUGUGAAAGUCCAGGGCUCAACCGUGGAAGUGCACUCGAAACUGGAUGGCUAAAGUCCUGGAGAGGAAGGUGGAAUGCUUGGUGUAGAGGUGAAAUUCGUAGAUAUCAAGCGGAACACCGGUGGCGAAGGCGGCCUUCUGGACAGUGACUGACGGCUGAGACGCGAAAAGCGUGGGGAGCCAAACAGGG